rnacentral:rRNA from 1 species
GACGAACGCUGGCGGCGUGCUUAACACAUGCAAGUCGAACGGAAAGGCCCUGCUUUUGUGGGGUGCUCGAGUGGCGAACGGGUGAGUAACACGUGUGUAACCUGCCCUUGACUUUGGGAUAACUUCAGGAAACUGGGGCAAAUACCGGAUAGGAGCUCCUGCUGCAUGGGGGGGGUUGGAGAGUUUCGGCGGUGGGGGUGGGACUCGGGGUUUAUCCGCUUGUUGGGGGGGUAGGGGCUUACCAAGGGUUUGACGGGUCGCGGGCCUGAGGGGGUGACCGGCAACAUGGGGACUGGGAUACGGCCCGGACUCCAACGGGAGGCAGCAGUGGGGAAUAUUGCACAAUGGGCGGAAGCCUGAUGCAGCAACGCCGCGUGCGGGAUGACGGCUUUCGGGUUGUAACCCGCUUUCGCCUGUGACGAAGCGUGAGUGACGGUAAUGGGUAAAGAAGCACCGGCUAACUACGUG